rnacentral:rRNA from 1 species
AUGGGUAUGGUCGCAAGGGAUUCUUCCGUCCUAAUGGGGAAUGGGUCACAUGCUUCUGCUCGUGGCAUUGGCACGGUGGAUCUGAAGUUUACUUUGGGAAAGAUCGUGCAACUAAGGAACGUGCAGCAUGUCCCUACUAUGAACAAGAAUCUAGUUCUAAGUGCCAUAGUUGUGUGCAAUCUAAGCAACCUCGAAAGCCUCAUAAGGCUGCCGAGGAGAGAAACUUGGCACCUCUAG